rnacentral:lncRNA from 10 species
GCAUAGUCAUCCGUGGUACGGAGCUGUAGCUGUGUUGCGUCACGUUCACCAAAGACAGAAGACAACUUCCUCUCAACAAUCAUUUCCCUUUGUCAUCCUUUUCCUGGCUUCUGUUAAGGAAGGGGAAAUUGAAGUCAUCCAGCUGACAAUCACAGUUCCACAGAUACCUCAAUGGGCUGCUGCCUCUACCUGCAUAGUCUUCUUCUGGUACUGGAACCACUCUAUAUAAAUUGUUGAUGAAUAAGUAUCCUGCUUGUAGAAACUCAGGCACCAACUGGAAGACCCAGAGGCUGUGGGUCAACCCACCUGCAUCUGUGACAUCACAGCUCUAUAAACAAUGUUUGUAUGUUUUUAUUCAGAAAACAAAGAUAUUUCUAAUUUAAAAAAAUUUAAAAAAACUUAAAGAAUGCUGUCUUUUAAAAAAUAUUUAUUUAUUGGCAUGAGUUAAGAAUCACCCAAAUUUCUUUUACAUGCCUAUAAAAAUGAUAUAAUUUGUUUUCUUUAAGUUACUGAUUUACUGUGUAAUAUUUAUGAAUUGUUAAAUAUUGCAUUGGGGUUGGAUUCCCAAUUUGAUUUAUUACUUUCCUAUUAUAUUGCUUAAUUUAGAGUAGUUUAUUUAGAUUGUCAUAUCUACAGCUAACUACAAUCAAUUCACUUCUAAUUUUGUAAAAACUUCAGCAGCUCUAAGGAUUGAGUUAGCCAUUGCCUUGUAAUUAUAACGGGUAACUAUCUUUUUGAUCCUUGACUUGGAAUGAAUAGUUGACACUGAAAUUGCUAAAGAAUAAUGUGGAAAAUCCCUCUCACACUGUUCACCUUCAUUGCUGUGGAUAAUCUUUAACAACUUUAUUUUCUCAGUUGCUCUGUUCAGGUUUUUUACCUCUUACUAUGUUAAUUUUGAUGUUAGUUUUGCUGUUAUUCUAGUACUUGUUGGUCUGUUUUACAGAAUAUGAUCCCUUUCAUUGCUAUUUCUAAAUUUAUCACAAAACUGUGAGAGAAAUCCAUUAUAAUUUAAUCAUUUUAUCCAUUACGAUGUAUGAUAUACCCUUUGUAAUGGUGAUGUCUUAUUUUGAUUAAACUUAAUUAUAUAUUUUUUUAUUUUGACUUCAUAAAAACCAUAUUUUGGAUUAUUCAUUACUUUUACUAAUUUUUAGCCCUGUAUUUUUUUCUGAAUUUUGAAAUUUAUUUUGAAAUAAAUAAUUUCCUUUUCUCA